AUCGGCUUGAAAAUCUUUAGGUGCUGCGGUGUUUCGAAAUUUAACUGUUGACGCGCUUCAGCAGUGCGAAGUAGCUGUAGGAGCAGUUGACGAUCUGAAAGGAGAAGAGCAUAACCAGUAAUAAAUGAUAUAUAAAGGAAUUUCUGCUGCCCUACAGAACCAAAGGCCUCCAAGCUGAAAGCAAAGGUGGGGUUAAAGGUGCUCAGGAGCAUCGGGGAAUUAAAGCGCUGCAUCAUGAGAAGGACAAUCCGGCGGUUUGCCCUGUUCCAUCCCGUCCAUUGGGAGCUGUAGAUGCUGUGACACAACCUAGAGCUCUGGACAGUUACCUCGUUGGAGGCGUAGCAAAUGAUGAAGAUCUGCCAGAGCAUCACCAGCUGAUAGAUACAGGUCUUGAGCAUAAAGAUGGCAUCGCCGUUUGCAAUGGACAUGGUGGACAUGUCGUACAGGUUGGACACCAGCACCAGAACAGAACACAUGAGCUGCACAGAUCCUGGCCCCUUUAUGAACAGCUCCACCAGGUCCUUGAAACGAACAAUCCUGUUGUAGUAGGCGGCACACUCACGCAGUUCCAUUGCGAUUUUCUCAUUAUCCUGGGGUUCGAUCACAGGACCCAACUUUUCUAAUCGCAGGACCAGCAUUUGUAGCUGAACCUUCAAGAAACAGAGCAACGAGUAGGCCACCGAGUCGUAGGUUAUAUUCAGCACACAAGUGGGCAGCAGGCAAAUCGAGUGGAAAAGGUACUGCGACCAAUAGCAGAUCCAUCCCUCGAUGCUGCAUACCUCCAACAUGGCCAGUGGUAGCUCGCCAAAGUUGUCGAAACAGGGAACUAUAAGGAUCAGGGAAGCCGCGCCCAGGGACAUGAUGCCGUAGGAGUUCCUCAUGCGGACAACCGCCACUCUAUCCAAUUCCAGCAUCUGCAUUUCCUGUUCACUUUUAACGCCGAACUCUGGGGACAACAUCGCAUCAACCAAGCCAGCGAGUUUGCGGCUCUUCAACUUCAAAUGCAAUAAUUUGGCCAUGCAGGAUAUUUCCGUGGCGAACAUGAAGAAUACCUUUAGGAUCUCCCUAACUUGGGAAAUGUUGUUCAACAUUUCGAAGGAGAAAAGCAGCAGCAUGAUGAACAGGAUGACCAGGAUGAAGCCAAACCUCAUGGACUGAAAACGACGCUGGUGGUCUGCGGCCCAAGUGGGGAGCUGCCAAACACCAAGGAUUUGGAAGUACCACACCUGGUACUUAUAAAAGUCCUCCGUAACCAUCUGAUGCUGAGACAUGCUGACAAUUUUCACUUUUCCAUCAUGAACCGCACGAGGAAAGCCUUUUAUAGGCCACGAACUUAAAUUCGCUAAUGAGCCUCAUUAUGGAAAUUGGCUACAGUGCACAAAAAAGUCAAAACACGGAAAGAACUCACCGAGCUGAAGAGCAUUAAGUCAAAACCAAGACUUGGAUUAAGUGUCCUAAUCCUCAAGGUCGAGUGAAGGCGUUGCAUAAAGAGGAGCGCAAUCCUUCGGCUCCUGUAGUCCCAGUCCACCCAGGAGGUCUUGUACAGCUCGUGCGGAAGGUCCAGGCUGCGCUGGGUUACCUCACUGACGAUGAAAUUCAUUACUGGCCUGGGGAGGCAUUUCGGAUAUGGAAUACCCACCCGGCAUAGUAGCACAAUAUAAAAAUCUGAAUCAACAUGCACGCCUGAUAGGUCACAUACUUAAAGAGCUCCAGCCUCUCGUCAGAUAACUACAAUUAUGUAUAUAGGGAAAACAAAUUAAGACCAUUGUUUUUCUAGAAAGCAUUUAUGAUAGUCUUCUUGUUGCGAAUUCACAGCUCACCACAGCAAUGGCAUAGAAAUUGGCAGUCAGCACCAAAACCGAGCAGAAGAUCUGCACCGAAAUCGGCUUGCAAAGUAGACGCUCCACGGUUUUCGACAGUUCAACGAUGGUCAUGUGAUAGCGGAUAUUUUCCUUAAGUUGCUGUUCCACAGUGCCACCAGAAGUAGUGAUUAACCGACCGAUCUUGUCCAGUCGCACGGCCAGAAUGUCCAGCUGGCACUUGAGGAAGAUGAACAGUGAGGAGCAGAGUGAGUCGAAUCCUAUGUUGGUGAUGCAGGAUACGGACAAGGCCAGACACUGAUAGCAGUAGAGGAGCCAAUAAGCAGGUGAGCCGGUAUUCUCGCCAAGCGGAUUGUAUGUUUUGAGCGGAAGGUGGGACCAGUCCAAGGCGAACUGGGGUAUGAGAAUCAUGCUCAAGGCGGCAAACGAAAGCGCUCCAUAGAAGUCCCGAAGCUUCCUACUUCUUUCACAGGCUGCUGCAAAGAUCAACUCUUCGUUGGCGCCUCUAGGACGGAACUCUUCGUUAUCCAAUCUCCUAAAGAGCUCCUCCAUCUGCACAUUGUUCGCCUUUAUGGACAGCAGCUUGGUGGUGUGCCCUGCACUGGUGGCCAGGAUAAAGAUGGCUUUCACAACCUCGGACAUGUAGCUCAAAUUAGCCAUCACAUGGAGCACCAAGAGGAGAUCAAAGAGCAGCACCCAAAACACAAUUACGUGGACAUAGUUCACCUGGUGGAUGAUUCUCCACCGGCGUUCUAUCUGAGGCCACAACGAGAGGAUGUUCAAGAAUGCCUUCUGGCCCUUGUAAAAGAUUUCUACUCCUUUGCUCAUUUCACGUCCAGAUUUUUCCAGAACUUAAGAUUAAUUGAUUCGUUCAAGUGUUUAUAAGGCUUCUGAACGGCAUUUAAAAUGUCAUUAGACGACCUAAUCGUUGGUUAAUCAUUAAAUUAUUAAGACAAAAACAUAAUAUGACUAAUAAAAUCAAGUAAUGAUUUU
ensembl:ncRNA asRNA:CR43467 antisense RNA:CR43467